rnacentral:tRNA from 1 species
UAAAGACUUAGGAUAAUUAAAACCAAGAGCCUUCAAAGCUCAAAAUAAGGGUGCAACCCCCUUAGUUUUU